AUGAAGAGGCUAGUGGGCACUGUGCUGGGGCUUUUGUUUGCCCGGGUUUGCUAUGUCAGAGGGGUGGACGUGGCACAGAGUCCCCCAGCCCUGACUCCACAGGAGGGAGCCAGCUCUACGCUGUGGUGUAAUUUCUCCACCUUGGCAGACAGUGUGCAUUGGUACCUUCAGAGCCCUGGGGACCACCUCAUCCACCUCAUUUACAUUCCUUCAGGGACAAAGCAGGAAGGAAGAUUAAAGGCCACGACAGUCCCUAGAGAACGCCGCAGCUCACUGCACAUUUCCUCUCCGCGGACCACAGACUCGGGCCCUUACUUCUGUGCUGCGCAGCACGGUGCUCCCCAGGCACCUGCGGCCUCCACACGAACCCUCCCGGGGCUCAGCCCCUCCUCCAGCCUCAGUCACACCGUGGGUCCCACAGGGCAUUUGCAGUGCUUCUUACUGGCCUUCCAAAUUUGAAGAAGGAAUUUCCUCUCAAUCUGUAUAUUCUUCUGCACUAGAGUCUCAAACUUGUAGGUAGGAGAGUAUCUAUUAAUAGAUGUGAAAGUGAAAGGAGCUCAGUCGGGUCCGACUCUUUGCGACCCCAUGGACUAUA